rnacentral:rRNA from 1 species
UGGGGAAUUUUGCACAAUGGGGGAAACCCUGAUGCAGCGACGCCGCGUGAUUUAGAAGGCCUUCGGGUUGUAAAAAUCUUUUCUAUGGGAAGAAAAUGACAGUACCAUAGGAAUAAGGACCGGCUAAUUACGUGCCAGCAGCCGCGGUAAUACGUAAGGUCCGAGCGUUGUCCGGAAUCAUUGGGCGUAAAGGGUACGUAGGCGGGUAAGCAAGUUAGAAGUGAAAUCCUAUAGCUCAACUAUAGUAAGCUUUUAAAACUGCUCAUCUUGAGGUAUGGAAGGGAAAGUGGAAUUCCUAGUGUAGCGGUGAAAUGCGCAGAUAUUAGGAGGAAUACCGGUGGCGAAGGCGACUUUCUGGCCAUAACCUGACGCUGAGGUACGAAAGCGUGUGUAGCAAACAGG